AGGGCAAACUGCCAAAUUGCUGCUUAGGAAACCAAGUACCCCGGGCUCGACACCGCUGUAAGGACGUAACCUUGAGAAGGGACAGCAUUCAGUAACCCUGGCUUCAGAUGCCUUCUUGAAUGUCUCAUUCUCCUGAGCAAGAGCAAUGGUGAUAGAUCUCAUCUCUGGCAGUGAGAGAGGGAAGCAAGGAGAGAUCUCCUUCUGAUGUCUCUUGCAUGGGAACCCUAAAGGAGAAAAGUAUUCUGGUUCAGAUAAGAAGCAAGUUUUGAAAUACCAACGUGUUCUGCAAGCUUAAAAUUCUGGAGUGUGACUCAAGUCAGUGGUGAUCCAGAACAGCAGGGCAGGAAGGUCCAUCACUGAUGCCUUUCUCUGGGAUGCUGCAGUGCAGGAAGGCAACUGCAACGCUUUUUGUUUGCGAGGUUACUUCUUUCAUGACUACAAAGAGAAACAAUCCUCAACAUAACGACAAGCCAGGUACCUUCAAGACACUGCAAUAACAUCAGUUUAGGCCCUUAGGCAAAGACCAAGGAACAAAGAGGCAAAGACCAAGAAACAAAGAGGCACACCAUUCAGGGAUCCCCUGGCACAAAAUGAAGGUCCUGAGCACAGAUCUUAUUUAUACAAAGAACACGAGGUAGCAACACCUUUAACCUGCACCCUGGAAAGAUGAGACUCCUUCUCCAUGAGAGCUCUUCAGAAACCAUGACCUAUGAAAAUCAAUACUUUGCUAUUGGCUUUCACUUAAAGGCAGAGAUUGAAUUACCAGAAAAAUCAGUGCAGAGCUACCUGACUCCUUCACUGUGCAUCAUCUUUGCUUCAAAAUCCAUACGACACGGGUGGACUGGGCUUCUUUCUCACCAAAUAAGAGCCUGUUAAAAUCCAGCUACAAAGGAGUUGUUCUUCCUAUCCAUCAGUCCUUCUCCCAUCUACAGCCCCAGUGCAUGGACUUGUAUGAACUCUGUCUGAAUGCCAAGAUAGAUCUGUAAAGUUCUUCCGUUUCCCCAUCGAAUCUGGACAAAAACAAACGUUCCAACUCAUGCAUGAAAGAUAAGUGACAAACUGCAGAGUGCUGCCAUAAGUCUUCUGUUGUAAUUUGGGAUUUUUCUCUUUUAGUUUGUUUUUUGACAUCUUCCCUUCGGGCUGUGUAGAUACAGAAAAACAUGCCAGAGUGAGAGAACAUAAAAACCUGGGAGCAGUGGAAAAAGGUUCCUAUCUUCUCUUAAAAUUAGACCAGUUCACCUCAUCACAAGAGAAGUAUAUGUAAAAGCUAUGUACAAAAUAAAAACAUAUCCCUGGAAUCAGAAAACAUACGAAUCUGGAUCUUUUCCUAGAAGUUAUGAGUUCUCUCUCCUAACCACAAAGCCUACAGGUGUAUUAUGGCCUUAACAGGAAGUAAUUCAACCAGCACUGUAACAAAGGAUGAGCAAACCAGGACAGGUUGCUUGUCUGGAUCAUUACUCCUUUAAUGAUGCCACAUCUGCCUAAUCACCCAGAUAUCUUCCCUAAAAGCCUCUGGUAAGGGCCUCAGGAAAUACAGAUUUGUUUAAAGCUAUCCCAUUGAUACAGCAUGGAAGGGGCCUGGCAGCUUCCCCAGAGCAUAUCCUGGUGUCUGUCUGCAGGAGAGAGAUGCUGCUACUCCCCAUUCAGAGGGUCAAAUGAUGCCGUGGUGACACACCACUUGAACGCUGGGCAAACAGCUCCUUAGGCAGUAAAUUUGUUGGGUUUAAUACUGCUGUUACACACACAGAGCUAGUGAGUGCAUGGAGGUGUAGACAGUGGGAGAAAGAAAAUACUUCCAGAUUGUGUCUGAAAAGGAAAUGGUGUCAUUAAAAAUGUCACUUCGUUAAAAAUCCCUGAAAAAAAUAGGGAUAGGAAAAGCCUAUGUAAAAAAUCACUAGAAGAAGAGCCAGGGAAAACAAAAUGGAAAUAAAGUAGCCAGGCAACCAGAAUAUGAAGUAGGUUGACAGCACCUGCAUAUGUACCUGAUUGAGCUGUACAUUAGUUAGCCUGGGUUUUGGUAAAAAUGUAUUACAAUUUUACAUGCACUGCAGGCCCAAGUCCAUUAGCCCGAGAUUAAUUCUUUGCCAUGGCUGCAUUCCAAAAUACUUAAAGUAAUCAGAGAUUUUAUAUGAAUUCUAUAUAAUAUGAACUAUAAUAUAUUUAAUCACGUUGUCAGUCCCAAGAGGGCUUACUCAGAGGGACAUGAUCAGAGAACAACUGACAUGCAAUCUACAUGUGAAGUGUUCCAUGCACAGAUACAGAAAGCACUUUCCCAUGAAAUCUUAGGUUCUUCUCUUACUUUCUUCUCCUAGCUUGCCAUAGCUACAAAAACCAAGUUAAUGUGAAGCACAGAUUUCAUUUUUUAAUUGACGCAUGAUUUUUCUUUUGUACUGUUGUUCUCUGGAGACACUCCCUCCCUCAUUCAUACAAAUCAUACAGAGACAAUGUAAACCAAUGCUGUGACCAUCACAUUUCUGCCCAAACAGAACACAAGUCCUGUGCAACUCCAACUGCAUCCCAGGCAUCCCUGCCACAGGGUAGCAGGUGCUGCAUUGUGGUUUCAUACUCUCUGUGCAAUCAGCACUGAAGGCUGAGUAGAUUUGCCUUUAUUUUCUUUAAGAAACUCAUGUUUCUUCUCUUCUCCACUGAUCUUGGAGUUUUCUUAAUACUGGUUUCUUGGCUGACAUCACAUGGAUUUUUUUUUUUACGAUGUUUGUGCUGCAGGUGCACUUUGGAGGCUGUGAUAGGACAGCUGCCAUCUCCUGCUCUGCAGCUCCA